GGACGGGAUGCGACCAAUGGAGGUCCAGCGGGCCGUAACCCCGCCGCUCUCGAGCACGGUGAGUUCGAUCCUCACCCCGUCCA
rnacentral:tRNA from 1 species